GAAAUGCGAUAAGUAAUGUCAUUGCAGAAUUCAGUGAAUCAUCGAAUCUUUGAACGCACCUUGCGCUCCUUGGUAUUCCUUGGAGCAUGCCUGUUUGAGUAUCAUGAAAUCUUCAAAGUAAAUCUUUUGUUAACUCAAUUGGUUUCUACUUUGGUAUUGGAGGUCUUUGCAGCUUCACACCUGCUCCUCUUUGUUCAUUAGCUGGAUCUCAGUGUUAUGCUUGGUUCCACUCGGCGUGAUAAGUUAUCUAUCGCUGAGGACACUGUAAAAGGUGGCCAAGGUAAAUGCAGAUGAACCGCUUCUAAUAGUCCAUUGACUUGGACAAUACUUUUAUGAUCUGAUCUCAAAUCAGGUAGGACUACCCGCUGAACUUAAGC
rnacentral:misc_RNA from 1 species